rnacentral:rRNA from 1 species
AGAGGUUCAUUCUGGCUCAGGACGAACGCUGGCGGCGCGCCUAACACAUGCAAGUCGAACGAGAGAUGAAGAGCUUGCUCUUCGGAUCGAGUGGCGAACGGGUGAGUAACGCGUGAGGAACCUGCCUCAAAGAGGGGGACAACAGUUGGAAACGACUGCUAAUACCGCAUAAGCCCACGGCUCGGCAUCGAGCAGAGGGAAAAGGAGCGAUCCGCUUUGAGAUGGCCUCGCGUCCGAUUAGCUAGUUGGUGAGGUAACGGCCCACCAAGGCGACGAUCGGUAGCCGGACUGAGAGGUUGAACGGCCACAUUGGGACUGAGACACGGCCCAGACUCCUACGGGAGGCAGCAGUGGGGAAUAUUGCACAAUGGGGGAAACCCUGAUGCAGCGACGCCGCGUGGAGGAAGAAGGUCUUCGGAUUGUAAACUCCUGUUGUUGAGGAAGAUAAUGACGGUACUCAACAAGGAAGUGACGGCUAACUACGUGCCAGCAGCCGCGGUAAAACGUAGGUCACAAGCGUUGUCCGGAAUUACUGGGUGUAAAGGGAGCGCAGGCGGGAGAACAAGUUGGAAGUGAAAUCCAUGGGCUCAACCCAUGAACUGCUUUCAAAACUGUUUUUCUUGAGUAGUGCAGAGGUAGGCGGAAUUCCCGGUGUAGCGGUGGAAUGCGUAGAUAUCGGGAGGAACACCAGUGGCGAAGGCGGCCUACUGGGCACCAACUGACGCUGAGGCUCGAAAGUGUGGGUAGCAAACAGGAUUCGAUACCCUGGUAGUCCACACCGUAAAC